AGUGUAGACAAAACAGCCUUUUAUUAGAAAAAGAUGCCAUCUAGGACUUUCAUGGCUAGAGAGAAGUCAGUGCCUGGCUUCAAAUCUUCAAAGGCCAGGCUGUCUCUCUUGUUAGGGGCUAAUGCAGCUGAUGACUUU
rnacentral:miRNA from 1 species